UCUUUGCAAAAAGUAUAAUCAAUAAAAUUCAAACUUGCGUCUGACACUACUAAUAGCGAAUCAAACAGAUUUAAGGAGUUAUAGUUGAAUAUGUCCACCGAUUUGUCCACAUCUGUCAAAUGUCAACAACAUGUCAGAUGAGUGUCAAUAAGCCAAGUUAGGUUAUGUGAACUGUAUUCCUUUUUAUCUUUUUAUGCUUUAAACAUUUUUCCUUCCACAUCUUUGCUUUAAGGAACAAAAAACUAAUUAAAUGACAUGUGUGCGAGUGCUACAAUAGAAGCAUUUAAGCAAGAUUUUAACAUAAAUACCGACAUCUCGGACAUAAAUUUCCGCAAGUUCAAUGUGGAACCCUACGAUGCACUACCACAAAAUCACCAGUUUGGCGAAAAAAAAUGUUUACUCUAUCAGCUAGAGUUUAAAGUAUUCAAUCUAGAUGUAUCUCUACGAGUUCUUGCAUUUAAAUAUGAAAAACACGCAGAAGUCUUAAAACUAGAGAUUAAAAUUUGCAAUGAUCUUCUCUCAAAAGAAAUAGCCGCUUGUAAAAAUUUUCUGCAGCGCAGAAGAAAUUUAAAUUUAACGUUUGAAGUAAUUAUUAAAUAUGCACGACUGUUUGAAACACGAAGAUUAAUUUGUUUGACUGUGUUUCAAAAACGAAGAAAUGUAGCAACGCUUUCAGAAGACGUUGGAGUUAUUGUUAAAUGUUGUAAUGAUGAUUUCAGUGUCAAAUUUCUUGAACUGAACUGGUCCAUACAAUGGACAGUUGAUACUUAUGAAGUGAGUGACUUUAUUGAAUUUUAUUUUAAUUAUCCAGUUCUUACAAAAGAAUGUGCUGCUAACGUCAAAAAAAAAUUAGAACUUUUGGUUGAGCCAAGUGUUGAUUUUCAUCCAAAAUUAAAAUUAUGGAAAUCGGUGAUGAAUGAUCUUUAUGGAUAUAUUCCUGAAGAUCAAAACUCAACGGUACUAACAGAAUCGACUGAUGUAUUAGAAAUUUCAGACUCAGAUAGUGACGUAAGUGUGGUGGAACUGGAGAGCAAUGUUUGUAAUCAAGCAAACAGUGAUGAAAUUAUGGUAAUAGAUUAAAUUUGGCUGUGUAAAUAUUUUGUAAAUUGUAUAUAAAUAUUCUAUCAAUUA